rnacentral:rRNA from 1 species
UACGAAGGGGGCUAGCGUUGCUCGGAAUUACUGGGCGUAAAGGGAGCGUAGGCGGAUAGUUUAGUGAGAGGUGAAAGCCCAGGGCUCAACCUUGGAACUGCCUUUCAUACUGGCUAUCUUGAGUACGGGAGAGGUGAGUGGAAUUCCGAGUGUAGAGGUGAAAUUCGUAGAUAUUCGGAGGAACACCAGUGGCGAAGGCGGCUCACUGGUCCAUUACUGACGCUGAGGUGCGAAAGCGUGGGGAGCAAACAGG